rnacentral:rRNA from 1 species
CCAAUAGCGUAUAUUAAAGUUGUUGCAGUUAAAAAGCUCGUAGUUGAAUUUCGGGAUCAGUUGGUCGGUCGUGCCUCGGUACGCACUGGUCAAAUUGAUUCCUACCUUCUGACGAACCACGAUGUCAUUAAUUUGGUGUCGCGGGAAAUCAGGACUGUUACUUUGAAAAAAUUAGAGUGUUUAAAGCAGGCUCGCGCUUGAAUACAUUAGCAUGGAAUAA